GACCAGGGAGAACUCGGAGAAGUUGGAGCU
rnacentral:piRNA from 1 species